rnacentral:rRNA from 1 species
UACGGGGGGGGCAAGCGUUGUUCGGAAUUACUGGGCGUAAAGGGCUCGUAGGUGGCCAACUAAGUCAGACGUGAAAUCCCUCGGCUUAACCGGGGAACUGCGUCUGAUACUGGAUGGCUUGAGAUUGGGAGAGGGACGCGGAAUUCCAGGUGUAGCGGUGAAAUGCGUAGAUAUCUGGAGGAACACCGGUGGCGAAGGCGGCGUCCUGGACCAACACUGACACUGAGGAGCGAAAGCCAGGGGAGCAAACGGG